UACGUAGGGUGCAAGCGUUAAUCGGAAUUACUGGGCGUAAAGUGUGCGCAGGUGGCCGCGCAUGUCGAGUGUGAAAUGCCCGGGCUUAACCUGGGAACUGCAUUUGUGACUGCAUGGCUAGAGUGUGUCAGAGGGGGGUAGAAUUCCACGUGUAGCAGUGAAAUGCGUAGAUAUGUGGAGGAAUACCGAUGGCGAAGGCAGCCCCCUGGGAUAACACUGACGCUCAUGCACGAAAGCGUGGGGAGCAAACAGG
rnacentral:rRNA from 1 species